UUCAGGUCAUUGAUGAGUCAGAUCUAAAGACAUGAAUCUCUCGUCAACUUUGUUCUCUGUUUCCCUGUGUCUGGAAGGUCCCACCACAAUAGCAAGAAGCCAUACAACUGGGAUUCUGACAGAGGCUACAACUUCUGUACCAGAGAGUGCAAAAAGCAGGAGAAUAAUCACAGGUACUACUGAGGGCAUCUCUGGCAAAACCUCAGGACCUGGAAGUGCCACCACAGAGGCCACAUCUUCCCCAGAAAGGCCUGGUACGACUGGGACUGCACUGAAAACAGGUGAGAAUAUAUUAGUCUAUGAUUUGGGGUUAUCAUGCUGAGG
rnacentral:lncRNA from 1 species